rnacentral:pre_miRNA from 1 species
GUAGUACUCCCUCCGCUCUGAAUUACUUGUCGCAGGUAUGAAUAUAUCUAGAUGUAUUUUAGUUUUAGAUACAUCCAUUCCUGCGACGAGUUCUAGAUACAUCUAUUCGUGCGACGAGUAAUUCGGGACGGAGGGAGUAUUAU